rnacentral:rRNA from 1 species
UAAAAGUCGUAACAAGGUUUCCGUAGGUGAACCUGCGGAAGGAUCAUUACACAAAUCGAUGCAACUCAACCAAGCCUUUAGUUGGAGAGCAGCGCCUCGGUGCAGCUCCCCAGCAACACAAAACUAAAACCAAAAGGAGCCUAACUAAGCUCAAACACUAAAACCAAAUUCUCAACGAUGGAUGUCUUGGUUCCCAUAACGAUGAAGAACGCAGCGAAGUGCGAUAAGCAGUGCGAAUUGCAGAACCGUGAGUCAUCAGAUUUUUGAACGCAACUGGCACCGCACGGCCUUCGGCCGUCGGUACGCCUGGUCCAGUGUUCCGUUAUCUCAUGAACAAAAUCUUAAUGCGAGUGAUGCCCUUCUCUCGUCAAGAACGAAAGCACUCUGUGCUCUGCGAGCAGCCUUCGGGUUGCACUCAAUGCAGCAGUCACAUUGCUUACAGUGUGAACUCAUUGAGAGUGGACGCAGCGCGGCAACAGCUGCAAGUGCUUAGUCAUUUCAACUUAACAAUAGUAUCUGGGCUCAGGUGGGACUACCCGCUGAACUUAAGCAUAUCAAUA